rnacentral:rRNA from 1 species
GACGAACCGUGCGAACGUUGUUCGGAAUCACUGGGCUUAAAGGGCGCGUAGGCGGGUCACCAAGUCUGGGGUGAAAUCUUUCGGCUCAACCGGAAAAUUGCCUUGGAUACUGGUGGUCUCGAGGGAGGUAGGGGCAUGUGGAACUUCCGGUGGAGCGGUGAAAUGCGUUGAUAUCGGAAGGAACGCCGGUGGCGAAAGCGACGUGCUGGACCUCUUCUGACGCUGAGUGCGCGAAAGCUAGGGGAGCAAACGGG